rnacentral:rRNA from 1 species
AUGCCAGAACAACAGCCUUUUACUUCAACUAUUUAUGAUCCAGCAAAUUGGGAUCAUUUAGCUGAUAAAUCAAGGGAUCUUUUGGUGGAAAAGGGACCUAUCAGAGAAGAAAACAUCGUCUUUCAUUCAGAUGAUUCUUCUAGGCAUUUUUCUUAUUCUUAUUAUUCUCAAAAAUUAAGUAAUGGAGAAGUUCAUGAUAGAAAAUGGCUAGUAUAUUCUAAGCAAGUUGAAAACGUAAUUUUCUUUUUCUCUGAGCUUUUCAAGUCUAAUAAAUACAAAGGUGCAUUAGACACUGAGGGGAUGAAAGAUUGGAGACACCUUAGUGGGAGGCUGAAAGAACAUGAUAAUAGUGCUGAGCAUAUUAAUAAUAUGCACACUUGGAAUUAG